rnacentral:rRNA from 1 species
CAGCAGCCACGGUAAUGCGUAGGUGGCAAGCGUUGUCCGGAAUUAUUGGGCGUAAAGCGCGCGCAGGCGGAUCAGUUAGUCUGUCUUAAAAGUUCGGGGCUUAACCCCGUGAUGGGAUGGAAACUGCUGAUCUAGAGUAUCGGAGAGGAAAGUGGAAUUCCUAGUGUAGCGGUGAAAUGCGUAGAUAUUAGGAAGAACACCAGUGGCGAAGGCGACUUUCUGGACGAAAACUGACGCUGAGGCGCGAAAGCCAGGGGAGCGAACGGGAUUAGAUACCCCAGUAGUCCCUGUCUCUUAUACC